rnacentral:rRNA from 1 species
UACGUAGGUGGCAAGCGUUGUCCGGAUUUAUUGGGUUUAAAGGGUGCGUAGGCGGCUUUGUAAGUCAGUGGUGAAAUAUGGCAGCUCAACUGUCAAGGUGCCAUUGAUACUGCGGAGCUUGAGUACAGAUGAGGUAGGCGGAAUUGACGGUGUAGCGGUGAAAUGCUUAGAUAUCGUCAAGAACACCUAUAGCGAAGGCAGCUUACUAGGCUGUUACUGACGCUGAGGCACGAAAGUGUGGGGAUCAAACAGG